rnacentral:rRNA from 1 species
AGUGAACGCUGGCGGUAGGCCUAACACAUGCAAGUCGAACGGCGGCACAGUAAGAGCUUGCUCUUACGGGUGGCGAGUGGCGGACGGGUGAGGAAUACAUCGGAAUCUACUUUUUCGUGGGGGAUAACGUAGGGAAACUUACGCUAAUACCGCAUACGACCUACGGGUGAAAGCAGGGGAUCUUCGGACCUUGCGCGAUUGAAUGAGCCGAUGUCGGAUUAGCUAGUUGGCGGGGUAAAGGCCCACCAAGGCGACGAUCCGUAGCUGGUCUGAGAGGAUGAUCAGCCACACUGGAACUGAGACACGGUCCAGACUCCUACGGGAGGCAGCAGUGGGGAAUAUUGGACAAUGGGCGCAAGCCUGAUCCAGCCAUACCGCGUGGGUGAAGAAGGCCUUCGGGUUGUAAAGCCCUUUCGUUGGGAAAGAAAAGCAGCAGGUUAAUACCCCGCUGUUCUGACGGUACCCAAAGAAUAAGCACCGGCUAACUUCGUG